CUGUGAGUCACGACGAGAAAGGUUGAGAAAGGUUGUUAGGGACAGUGGUGCAAAGUACGUAGCAUCGGGAAGGCCUGCUCUCCCUCCCCCUGCCUGAGUCUCCUAUUGCCAAAGUAUUCCAAAGAGAAGUAUUACGUGUCUAAGAAGAGAAAAGAGGUGACGCAUUGGGAGGAUGGAGCGUGAACACAGGAGCACCCUGUGGGAAGAGUAGGGAAGCGGAAAUGAUCUCCUGCCAUUUCAGCAGAUGGAGGAAUGGGGCCGGAGGUGAAAAUGGGCAGGAGGACUCGGGAGGCUCUCUGGUGGCAGCAGAGCCGGCAUGCUCGUGUUGGCCAUUUCUCAGCUGGGGAAUCCGCCACGGAGAGGUUCCCUUUAGCAAGAGAGGCAGAGGCUCCCUUUCUCAGGUCUUUCAGGGUGCUGUCUGCCUUCCUUCGAGACGUUUCCCCAGGAGGAUGGGCCAAGAGGAGCUCCGUCCGUGCCUCAUCCCGCCCCCGCCCCCAGCCCCAGCCCUCGACUCCCAGCCCCUGUCCAGUCAGGUGAGGCGCCCAGAGUACCUCGUGAGCAGCACCACCGCCUUGCUGACAGUGACUUGUGUGUCCCCAGGAACUCACGACGACGAUGUUGUGGAGGCCGGUGGGAGUGAGAAGACUGAGGCAAAGCCCCGGGCUGGGGGACAUGAGGACGAGGCGGCCCCAGUACCUGAGGUGGAGGUGGAGGAGGAGGCGGGCCAGCCCCGUGAAAAUGGCCAGGAGGAGUCCUUAGCCAUCGCCUGGGCUGAGCCGGAAGACGAGCCUGGCCCCAAGGUGGACGGGGCGGACGAUGAAAUCUCUUGGAGCUUGGAGAGUGUGUGUGAGAGCGACCUCGCUGACAGCAACCUCGCAGAAAGUGAUCGAGACUCGGUGGCGGAGCGCACCGACUGCCGCCAGGAUGAGGAGGCUGCAGGAACUCACGACGACGAUGUUGUGGAGGCCGGUGGGAGUGAGAAGACUGAGGCAAAGCCCCGGGCUGGGGGACAUGAGGACGAGGCGGCCCCAGUACCUGAGGUGGAGGUGGAGGAGGAGGCGGGCCAGCCCCGUGAAAAUGGCCAGGAGGAGUCCUUAGCCAUCGCCUGGGCUGAGCCAGAAGACGAGCCUGGCCCCAAGGUAAGCUCACCUUUCUUGAUGUGAGGUUGGAAAAGGUGCCUCCUUUCUUCUUGGAUGUACCUCCUUCAGAAAUGGAAAUCUGAGAAAGUCCACUGUAGAUGAUAUAUGCAGAUUGCUGUGCGGAGGACUGUUGAGUCCAAGUUUGGUACCAAGCAGUAGCUCCUUCCCCGGGGCAUUUGCAAAAGGGACCGCAUCAGUUCCAAGUGUGCAGUAGGGAGCAUAUGUCUUUGAAGAAGCCGGAAUGUUGUUUUGUCUGUUGUCUUUUUUUGCCUUUUCUAGGGCCCCUCCCGCGGCAUAUGGAGAUGAGGUUCCCAGGCUAGGGGUCUGAUCGGAGCUGUAGCCACCGGCCUACGCCAGAGCCACAGCAACGUGGGAUCCGAGCCUCGUCUGCCACCUACACCACAGCUCAGGGCAGCGCCGGAUACUUCACCCACUGAGCAAGGCCAGGGAUCGAACCCGCAACCUCAUGGUUCUUGGUCCGAUUCGUUAACCACUGUGCCACGAUGGGAAGGCCAAAGAAGCCUGAAUGUUUGUUAAAUGUACGAGGACUUGGGAGAUCUUCCAUGAAAAGCUGGCGCCUUUUCCAAAGGGGUCUUCGCCGUGUUCUUUUGGGGAAACGGACUCAACGCUGCCUUCUGUCUGCGUGCCUGCGGUCCCCAACGGCAGGAAGACCUGUGGCCGCAGUGCAGAGGAUGCUGUGACACUCACCGUGUUUUCUCUUGUCUCAUCACAGGUGGACGGGGCGGACGAUGAAAUCUGUGAGUAUUCUGGAGCCCGGCUGUGCUGAGGAGAAGUCCAGGUGUUGAGGAAAUGGGGGGGGGGCCCGCGAGGGAGGCGGGGUGGGGGGGCUCUCCUGCUCCUUUGGUUGCAGAGACACCCUGAUUCUGGG
rnacentral:lncRNA from 9 species